CCUGACACUUCCUAGUCUGCAGCUGGUUCCCUGCAUCACCGCCCCCGGCCCCAGUCCUUACCUCCAGAGAAAAAGCAACCAAGUCCAUCACAAGAGCUGCAGCAGCUGCUCUGAAGACAGUGAACUUGAUAAUGAAGGGCUGUCUUGCCUCCCACUUUUAUAAGCCUAGCGCUGGGGACCCUCCUUCUGGUUCCACCCACAUCUGAUCCCUGAGUGGGAAAUAGUUUAGGAAAUGCCACUCCCUACCCCCAAGCCCAUUCCCUACCCCCAAACCUGAUUUCACAGACUUCUUCCUCGACCAAUGAAGAGAGGUGGGUGACCAAUGUUCACAAAGUACUAUUCACAAUAGCCAAGACAUGGAAGCAACCUAAGUGCCCAUGGACAGAUGAAUGGAAAGUAGAUGUGGUACAUAUAUGCAAUGGAAUAUAACUCAGCCAUAACAAAGAAUGAAAUCCUGCCACUGGCAGCAACACGGAUGGACCUGGAGAUUAUCGUACUAAGUGAAAUAAAUAAGACAGAGAGAGGAAAGUAUCCUAUGACAUCACUUAUAUAUGGAAUCUAAAAAAAUGAUACAAAUGAAAUUAUCAUGCUAAGUGAAGUCAGUCAGACAAUGAGACACCAACAUCAAAUGCUUUCACUGACAUGUGGAAUCGGAAAAAAGGACAGAAUGAACUUCUUUGCAGAACAGAUACUGACUCAUAGACUGAAAAACUCAUGGUCUCCAAAGGAGACAGUUUAGGGAAUGCACUGGUGUUGUGGGUUGGAAAUCUUAUAAAUGUGGAUUGUGAUGAUCAUUGUACAAUAUAAAUGUAAUAAAUUCAUUGAGUAAUUUAAAAAAACCAAAAAACCAAACCAAAUCAAACAAAAAUGAUACAAAUGAACUUAUUUGCAAAAGGGAAAGAGAGACACAGACAACAAAUUUAUGAUUAGCAAAGGGGAAAGAGUUGGGUUGGUGGGCGGGGAUGAGGAGGGAUUAAUUAGGAUUGUUGGAUUAACAUAUACACACUACUAUAUGUAAAAUAGAUUUCAACAAGUAUUUACUGUAUAGCUCAGGGAACUCUAUUCAAUAUCUUGUCAUAACAUAUAAUGGAAAAUAAUCUCAAAAACAUGUAUAACUGAAUCCUUUUGCUGAAUAAUUGAAACUAAGGCAAUAUUAUAAAUCAACUAUACUUCAAUUUAAAAAACCCUUACUUUACAAAAGUGAGACAAAAUCUAAACUGUAUGAGAGGAUUGAAGUAUAAAGUCCUCCUCCCUCCCCAUCCCAGAGUCUCUGUUCCUCUCCCCAGAGCCCACCACCCCAAUCAUGUUCUUCUAUAUUUACAUGUGUUCUAAAUGUUCCAGCCUAUGAAACCCCUUUUCAGAAUAUCCCCUUGUCCUUUAAGUACUAACUUUACAGGAGUUCCCUGGUGGCUUAGCCGAUUGAGGAUCUGGCAUUGUCACUGCAGUGGCUUUGGGUUCCUCUCCAGGGAACUUAAGCAUGCUGCAGGCAUGGCCAAAAAAACACCCCCAAAACAAACAAACAAACAAAAAAACCUGAACUUUACACAGUCUCUUUAUACUUUCUUUUUAAACAACUUCCAAGGCUCUAUGUCAUAGCUGGUCUGAUUAUGACCCUGACAGCAGCUCACAGGUCAGGGGCACAUCCAAUGUGAGAAUGUAGAAAAACUUCCAGGACCUGCAAAGGGUGCCCAAGUGACAGAAUGGCCCUGCCCACUGGCUCUCCCGUCCAGGACCUUUGUUUUCUGCUCUCAGACCUGUGCCCUCCCCCCACCACUCCCUGCCACAGGGAAGCCAGAAAAUGCUGCAUUACCCUCAUACAGUGCGAUCAGGAGAAGAGAGAGAGAAGAGCCUACAUGCUCAGGAGUUAAUGGCCAGAAAUGGGAGGAAUGCUUCCUUCUGUGUAAGAGCCUGGAGAAAAGGCCCGCAAGGCCCGGAGGAAAUGCUCAACUAGGAAGUAAAGUGUACCUAGUGGACAGAGGGGCACCCAAAUUGGAGACUGUAAAACUGAAAAGCUAAGUGCUUUUCCCUCUCUUUUUGCUCCCAAACUGCCUAAUCUCACAUUCUUGCCAAAGGCGAUUUCCUUCUCUCUGUGGUCCAGGUGAUGUUGUCUUGGUCCAAUAAUACAGCCUGUGCUGUUCAUUUGUUGCUUUUACGGAGAAGCCCUUGCAGGACAGCCCAGCCCCAGUUUUUAUGGUGUGGUCUGAUUUCACUAAUUUGAUAAAGACAACUCAUUAGAGGCAAGUUGGGAAGCCCCAGAGCAGACCAAUAAAUAGUCGGCUAAGCCAUUCACUUAAAAUGACAAUAGCAAAAAUGUUAAUAAAUGUCAAUAUGUGCACCAUGGUUUAGGAUUGCUUUCAAGAAGCAAUUCUGCUGAGGUCUUCGAAUGAUUUUCUUUAAUAGAUGACCUCCCUGUUGUCAGAUUUGGUCUGGACUCACUUUGAUUAUGCAGCCCCACCACAUGUGUGCCCGAGUUGAAAAGCCUCGUGGCUGGGUGCCACCAUCGAACUCAACAGUCAGACUCCUUAAGAUUUUUAUGAGUCGUGAUCAUGGUCACUUCUCUGCAUGAUUUGGGAUGGAGGUUAUUGGUGAUUUAAAUAGAAUUAAAACCCACUUAGAGAAACGGCUAAUUUAGGUCCUCCAAAAUCCAUUCCCAGGCCAGAUUAUCUGGAUUGGAUCUCUGGACAACUACUAAGUAAUCACCUAAUUUACUUUCAACUUUAUAUUCUGCUCUUUAGACAUUGACUUAUUAGGCUACAAAAAGUUCUUAAAAACAGAGUGGGUUGGGUAAUCAAAGGGCUGAUAGAUAGAUAGAUAGAUAGAUAGAUAGAUAGAUAGAUAGAUAUAGAUAUAUAUCUGAAUUACUUUGCUGAAUACCAGAAACUAACACAACAUUGUAAAUCAACUAUAAUAAAAUAAAAUUUAAAUUUAAAAAAUUUAAAUGCUUUAUUCACUCUUUGGGAUUCAGUUUCCUUAUCUGUAAAAUGGAUGUGAUAAUAACUCUUACUACUCAGUUAUACACAAGACAUGUGUAUAUGCAUACAGAUGUGCAUAUGUAUAGGUAUAUUAUUUAAAUAAGAUACUGUAUACUAGGCGCCUAGCAUAGUGGUGCCUAGAGUGUCAGUUAUCAUUGUAAUUACCAGUGGCCCCCUCCAAAAUUUUCCCAGAGUUUCUCAGGCUGAUGUGUAACAAUAGUAAACACAGUUUGGUGUUUCCCUAUUUUGACAUAUCUUUUGCAGAGUUUACAGGAACCCAAAAUCAUGCAGGCAGCAUUUACUCACAUUGUGUCUAUCAACAAAUGAUGUUCCUCUAGAGUGUUCCUUUGUGAGUUUUUAAAAAUAAGUUCACUACCUUCUUCUUCUUCUUUUCCUUCUUCUCUUGCUUCUCUUCCUCCCUAACCCACUUUUUCUUUUGGUUGUGCCCAAAGCAUGUGGAAGUUCCUGCUGGCCAGGGAUUGAAACUGCGCCACAGCAGCAACCUGAACCGCAGCAGUGACAAAUGCCAGAUCCUUAACCCACUGCACCACAGGGAGCUCCUAAUCAGUUCUUCUUACCUACUCUCAUUGAUGUAAUUCUUUUCCAGAAAGAGCUUAGAUGGGGAAAGGAAUCCUCCUUUUAUUAAAAGGUUAACGUAAAAUUAACUGUGAAGCCUCUUUUGUCCAGCCCUUGUUGAAAAUAUUUCCAAAUGAACAGGUCCAUUUUUCUGUCCUGAGACAGUUCUAUGAACAGAGAAGUUCAUCUUUCUGUGAUGAUAGGAGUUCUUGGGGUGCCUGGAGCAUCACUCUGAAUGCUGGUUUUUAUCAUGCAGGUUUGCAAAGAUAAAAGCUGAAGAGUAGGUGCUGGCAAACUUUGACCCAUGUCACAGUUGGCACCAAGGCUAAGUUUUCACUGGGUUUAUUAGAACUGUGUAUUAUAGAGUUUUAUAUUGUAGGCACUUGAUACAUGUCUGUCAAAUAAAUGAAAAUUGCAUCUUCUCUCCCCAGUAGCCUCAGUCCCUCCUGCCACCUCUCUGUUCCAUCUUUUCCCUGAAAUAUUGAAGAUAGCUUAGGAGGACUCCUAAAAUAUAAAGAAUGGAGGUGACAUUACUUAAGGAUAAGUCAGUCUCAGCCACUUCUUCCCAUUCCACUUGCUGUGGCCAAUUUUGUGCUGUGAUAGACUCUGUUCUGCUGCUGCUGCUGCUGAUUGAACCAGGAAUUGAGGAAUGGGGUGGGCAAGGUAUUGCCUGGAUGGAGCUAAUCAGACUCUUUCCUGGUAGAGAGGCAGUUUUCAGUGUCAAUGCGAUCAUAUGACUUCCAGAAACUCCCCUUUCUUGGUUUAGUUAGUUAAGUGGAUUCUGGUCUAUGUAUGUAUUUAUAGUUAAACAAUUUUUUGAGUGGUUUCUGUUCUUUACAUCUAAAAAAAAAUCUCUGUCUAAAGCUGACGCCACAGUCUGGCCACAAACUUUCUGCAGGAUAUUCAAAGUCAGGAAACCUGGAGUAAGCUUAUUUUCAUAUAGUAAAUCAGUUACAUUUUCAAAUGACAUGCUUCGCCUCCAGACAUCUUGGCAAGUGAAAUACCUCUUAAUUUGAUGCAGUGGUUCCAAUUUAACAAUUUAACUCUGAAAAAAGUACAGUAAAUAUAUAACAGAGUGGUAAAAAUAAAAGUUUCAAAACACAGGGAGGAUAAUGUAUUUCCUCUUCUUCUUCUUUUUUUUUUUUUUAGAUUAACAAUCUGAAAAUCUGUGGUGCAUUUAUUUUGGACACAGAUCCAUAGUAGUCAGCGUAUUGUCUGAAAAAGUAACUGACAUACUGUUUAAAAAUAAGUUUAUUCCACAUUCCCAGACCUUUCAUAUACUUCGUGGUUGAAGAUGAAAAUUGAACCUCAUGUGGUUGAAGUAUCAUGAGAUAAAACAGAAUGUAACCACUCAAAUAGUGAUAGUCUACGCUAAAGCAGAGAUUUAUCCUGAAUAUCCUCAUAAACUCUCCUGGUUUAACAUAGGGAACAACAGCCUCUGCUACAUCUUUACAACAGCAGAACACAGGUUUUAUAGCACCAGGUCUUAUAAUCUUUUCCAACACUGGCAGAUGGUGUUUGUUACCUGCAAGUGCAAUUCAGGAAAAAUGCAUUUUGAGGGCAAAGGAUGCAGGGAGCACCAAUCACCCUUUACUGGCCUUCUUUCAGCCCAGCUUGCCAUCCUUGGUUCAAGUCCUUUCAAGAAAUACUUAUUUAAUACCAACUAUGUCUACCAUGUAUAUUGGGAAAACCUACUAUCUUCCCUUCUUUUCUGUCUUCGCUUUCACACAGCUGACAGUCCUGGUCACCAAAUGUGUGUGGUUUCCCCCCAUCAAGUAAUUCUCUGUGACACCAGCUGGGUGUUCAGCAAUUUAACUCAGCAUCAAAUACUAUCCAUCUGGAGAUGGUGUCAGAGCCCUUGGGCUAAGGGCUCAGUCCCACAAGAUUUUUCCCACUGUCCUUCAGUUGCCCAUCACCAAUGGUGGUAAGUCCCCAGGUUACCUACACGUCUGUAUGACUUGGCUACAAAUUGGGGGUUCACACACCCCCUUCCCUGGGUUCAAUUAAUUUGCUAGAGCAGCUGAUAGAACUCAGGGAAACACAUUUACAGAUAUGGGGAGUUCCCAUUGUGGUUCAGCAGGUUAAGAAUCCAACUAAUCACAUAUGAUGAAACAUGAUGGAGGAUAAUGUGAGAAAAAGAGUGUGUGUGUGUGUGUGUGUGUGUGUGUGUGUGUGUGGACUGGGUCAUUUUGUUGUACAGGAGAAAUUGACAGAACACUGUAAACCAACUAUAAUGAAAAAAAAAUCAUUAAAAAAAGAAUCCGACUAGGAUCCAUGAGGAUGUGAGUUUGAUCCCUGGCCUCACUCAGUGGGUUAAGGAUCAGGUGUUGCCUCGAGGUGCAGUAUAGGUCAUAGACAUGGCUCGGAUUUGGCGUUGCUGUGGCUCUGGCUCUGAUUCGACCCCUAGCUUGGGAACUUCCAUAUGCUGCAAGUGUGGCC
rnacentral:lncRNA from 1 species